UGGUCCUGUAACUAGUCAUGCAUAAACAUUUAUAACAGAAUAAUUUAUCUGAUAAAAUUAUCUUUUCUUCUGUUUUGAUUUCAAAAAAGGAUUGGAAAAUCUCUCUCUGUUUUGAGUUCAAAAAAGGAUUGGAAAAUCUCUCUGAAAGGGGAAAAAAAAUGGCAACAGCCACUCCUACUAGAAUGGUUUACUUGGAAUUUUCUUUUUUCCCAAGCCUUCAUAUUGCUCAAUCUUUCAGUCCUUGGAAGUUAUGACAAGCAAUCCCAAUGCGCC
rnacentral:misc_RNA from 1 species